GAACUUGAACACUUGUACUACCACUCCCUGAGUUACCAUGGACGCUAUCCAGUUGUCUGGCUGCUACCAGAAUUUCAGGAGCUCCCACUGGGCUGUGCAGAAACCACAUGGGAAAGCCAUUGGACCACAUAAGGACAGAGUGAGAGUGAGAGCAGGCGUGAAAGAGCAAGACACAGAGAGAGAGAGAGAGAGGAGAGACAGAGAGAGAGAGAAGGGGAGGUGGGCGGGGGGGGGAGAGAGAGAGACAUUCAAUCAGCCCUCAGGAACUCUAGCCCCUCACCUACCAUUUGACUGCAACUUCAUCUCUCCUAUACCUUUUCCGGCCUGGCUGGAGUCAUCCUCACAACUGCUGAUACUCUCCUAAUUCCCCACUAGCUGGCUUCGCAUCGAUGAUCAGGCACCCGUCAGAAUGACUAAUCGUGCUGCUCACUGCCUGUCGGAUGUUCAUCCAAGUCUUCCCCUGCCAUUCACAGAAUUCACGCUACAGCAUCUGGUCACCAUUACAACGUGCAAGCCAAGGUACGGAGUAGAAGAGCAGGGAGGGAAACGCGGUAAAAGUCACUCCCUCGCAUAUGGCAAGGAGGCCCUGGGCCCAGAAACGCUCCAUAUUAUUACGCAUACAGGAGAGGUAUUUAGCUAGUUGAUCAUUGUUUGGAGGGCCUAAUUUUAUCCUGAGACAGUUCUGCAAAAUAAACUUUCUUAUGUUGCCAAUUAUUCCAUGACAACUGCUUAGCAAUGUACCUUCACAAAUGCUAAAUUAAUUUUUAAAAUAUUGUGAAGUAGAUUCCUAAUGACAUAAACGGGAAAAUGAGGCAAAGAAUCCUAAACAUACAUGUGUUGGACUGUAGAAAAGAACAUUAAAUAGCUUC
rnacentral:lncRNA from 10 species